rnacentral:misc_RNA from 1 species
UUUCCGUAGGUGAACCUGCGGAAGGAUCAUUACAGUGCCAGCGGCCGCCGCGUCCGUCUCUCCCCAAAGGAGGGCGGCCGGCGUCCGCUACAGGCCCCCACACUUGUCUACCGAUCCCGUUGCCUCGGCGGGCCCGCCGUUAGGUCGGCCGCCGGGGGGGAGUAAACAUCCCCUCUGGCCAGCGCCCGCCGGAGGACCGAAUCAAAAACAUCUGUCAGUCAAUGCAGUCUGAGCGAGAAUCGCAAAUCAGUUAAAACUUUCAACAAUGGAUCUCUUGGUUCCG